UACGUAGGGGGCGAGCGUUGUCCGGAGUUACUGGGCGUAAAGGGCGCGCAGGCGGUCUGGCAAGUUUGGAGUGACAGUGCUCGGCUUAACUGAGCAAGGCCUUCGAAAACUGCUAGACUUGAGCACUCAAGAGGGACAUAGAAUUCCGGGUGGAGUGGUGAAAUGCGUAGAUAUCCGGAGGAACACCGACGGCGUAGGCAGCGCCCUAGACGAGACCUGACGCUCAGGCACGAAAGCGCGGGGAGCGAACAGG
rnacentral:rRNA from 1 species